UGAAAUCGUGCAUGUUUCUGUAAUGUUGGUUGCAUAGCAAAACCAUUUCAGGGCAUGACACGGGUUCGAGU